GUCAUUAGGUCACUUUUGGACAAACAAAAAAAAAAUGCAGUUUUCUAGGACAUAGUUUGAGCAAAGUGGUAGUAGUUUCUCAGAAAUUCCCUUCUGAGUUGUGAGCGGGACUGUUGGUUCAGAAAUAAGCCAGUGCUCAUUUCCCAUCAUUCAUUUUUCACACUCUCUCCUGCUAUCUUACACCUCCACAAUCCAAAGCAAACUUUAGCAGUGCAACAAAAAAGACAAACAACGUUGGAGUCAUCCAGCCGUACAGUUUUAAACCAGAUGCCAGCUCAGACGAGGAACACAAAGACGUACAUGAAUCUAUUGGUCUGCAUGUGGGUGCAUCAGAAUUGAGUGGAGGAGGGAGUUUUUGGCUUGCCUUUUUAUAGUUUGGAUGCUGCAUCUACAAACUUUUUCAAACUGCAUUUUUUGUCUGCUACUGAUUCAUAAUAUUUUGAAUACAGAAUUACUUAGAAAUGCAGUUUUAAUCUUAAUUUUAUUUUUAUAUUUCCUCCAUAAGAAAAAUACAACAAAACCAUGUUGAAGAAAUAAAACAUCACUUUUUAUUGAAACAGGUCCUUAAUAAGGUGAUGCUAUCAAACAAUAUUAGGGACAAAAAAAACAAAUAAAUUGGAAAAAAAAUCUCAGGGCAGAUAAACCUGGUCUCACACCUGGAGAGCUAUUUAGGAUAAUUGAGUUGGUUAUUAGGGACACAUGUUGGAUGUGUUUGUCAUGUUGCUGGAGGGUCUGACUGCAGCUGGGUUUUCCAGGGUUUGCCCCUCAGGGGGCAGAAGCUGAGAGGUACUGGACAAUGACCCGGGGGUGAAGUCCUCACACCUUGCUGUUGGAGAAACCUCUUCGCCUUGGUGGGGGUGGAGAUUUCCACUGGCACUGAUGUAAUUUUCUUCCGUCUAACAAGAGAAGACCCAGGGCUGAGAGGUUACAAACCAUUCCUCAGAAGAUCAAACUGCCCAAUGAACUGUGGAAAAAAGGAGAUUCAUUCUUGCACAACUGGAUUUCCAAGGUCAAGGUUUGCUCUUGUUUUUGUCUCUUUUACUGCGGCGUUCUGAAAGAGAGAAGGACAAAGCGCAGGAUUAUCAGCGAACGAAAAUAAGUCCAUUCCAGUCGGCUGUGUGCAAACCUUUCAGCUCCGAGAUCAACUGUAAACAGGUGCUCAGGAUCCAAUUC